GAGGAAGCCUAACGGUCAUCUGUGCGCGCGGCUGCGGCUCGCCUGCCGGUCAGCGCUCCUCACAACGGGGCUGUGGGAAAAAGUAGAAUUAAAGGUGUUUUUCUCUCUCAAAUGUUUGUGAGUGAUCCUCGUCCCAGGAGUUGAGCUUUCCUUGUGACAAACACGAGCCAGUGCAGCCAAGAGGCAGUUCUCUGAGGCGAUGCAGCAGUCUCAGACGUGCAUGUUUGCCCCCUUUGCUUCUUUUUGGUCACAAGAACACUACUUCAAGAAACCGUUUUUGAUCCUAAACUAUCACGUCGAGCUAGGACUGCAGGACACAGCCAGACACCGUGAAACAGGACCGCACUCCAGCCCUGCAAAGACAACGUGGCCCGGGGUUAGGCACCCAGCAGGAGGAUCCAGCUUGACAUUUGAAAGCUUUUGUCCAACUGUGUGGAAACAUAACACAUCUCACGAAAAACAUGAAGAAAUCAACAGCACAGGAACUCUUUUUUUUUACUUUAACAAUUUAACAUUGCUCAGCUAUCUAAGAAUUCAGUUACUAAAGAUGAAAAGAAAAUACUUACAGGCACUUUUCAGAGUCUGGGAGAACUGCUCCUAACUGCAUUCGCCUGCGAGUUACAUCAAGGGGAUAUCUGCAGGAGAUAUUUGAACAGCAGUUCAACCAGAUGUGUGAUGACUAUACAAAUAUCGUUGUGUUGGUUUUGUUUUUUUUUUUAAUUAAAAAUACAUAUAUAAAGAAGUCCAUCUGCAACCUCCAAGCUCCCUUUUCAGCGAGUCAGGAAUUCGGCUUAGAUUCUCAACACAGCUGAAAAUUCUCCAAAAAGGGAGACUCCCCCUAUGCAACCAAAGCCAGCAAAUCAGAUCUCUUAGUAUAUUCCAUUUGGCACGAGCAAGGAAGACACGUGAAGAUCAGAUGAGAGUAUAGAACUGUAAAACACUGGAGGGAGAAGAUGCCUGAAUCAAAAGUACAAUUAACAGUUUAAAGAUUAACAGAAAAUGUAUGUUACAUAUGUAAUGUAAUGCAGUGAGUGAUUUAGUGAAAAACCGAUGCCAUAAAAGUCUACCAAAUUGAUUUGAUUUGUGGCCAAAAGAAAACAUGGCAAGGACAGUAUGAGAAUGGAGGAAACAGGCAAAGUAAAAACAAAGUAAUGCCAAACACAAUCUCCUAGGCUUUCAUUUUCCAAUUCUUAGACUUUGCAGGUUAUACCAUCUUAAAAUAAACUGGAAUAAUACAAUUAUGCAAAUGAUGUUAAUAGUCCAAAUUUCAUAGCAUACCAAACAAGAUUCCAGCUGAUUUUAGUUUUACCUGUUUGUUUUAAUUGACUCAAUGCAUUUAUCUUUAAAGCCCCUGAGGAUCAAAUAGAUAUUUAUUAAGUGAAACAACAUGAAAUAACUGAAUCACAGUGUCUGACUGAAA
rnacentral:lncRNA from 1 species